AGAUACCGAUGGUGUAUCAGUUGUCAUACCAAUGGCAUGGCUGAGUAGCUAAGUAUCGAUGGGAUAAACGCUGAAAGCAUCUAAGUGUGAAGCCCACCCUAAGAUAAGAUAUCCCAUAUCGUAAGAUAGUAAGAUUCCACGUAGACUAUGUGGUUGAUAGGUUGGAGGUGUAAGUGCAGUAAUGUACUCAGCUGACCAAUACUAAUAAAUCGAGGGCUUAACCAC
rnacentral:rRNA from 1 species